rnacentral:lncRNA from 1 species
CAUUAACAAGAGUAUAUAGCAUCAAGACUUUUAUAGAACUUUUAAAUAUAAAAAAUAAAAAAAUUGUGCCACAAACCAUUUUUUGAUGCUUAGCAUCAUUUGAUCGACCAAGAGCCUUUUCCUCUUCAGCAAGCUGAAACUCGUAAUACUUGUAGUCAGGACAGUGUUUGUCAAAUAGAAAUAUGCAAAUAACCCAAGAUUUAUAUCAAUAAUUUAUUAAGGUCAGAUUCUAAUUUAAAAGUAAAACAGAGUUUAUGAGAAAAAUAAGUAGUGCAGUCGUACUUGAAUGGUGUACCUCCAGGAUUCCUCUGCCGUGUGAUAUUCUCAAACUAUCUCCCAUUUUUGGCAACAAAACUUGCCAAUUUGUCAGCAACUUGCUUCACUGUCAUAUCAUUUGGUGGGGGU